GACGAACGCUGGCGGCGUGCUUAACACAUGCAAGUCGAACGGAAAGGCCCUGCUUUUGUGGGGUGCUCGAGUGGCGAACGGGUGAGUAACACGUGAGUAACCUGCCCUUGACUUUGGGAUAACUUCAGGAAACUGGGGCUAAUACCGGAUAGGAGCUCCUGCUGCAUGGUGGGGGUUGGAAAGUUUCGGCGGUUGGGGAUGGACUCGCGGCUUAUCAGCUUGUUGGUGGGGUAGUGGCUUACCAAGGCUUUGACGGGUAGCCGGCCUGAGAGGGUGACCGGGCACAAUGGGACUGAGAUACGGCCCAGACUUCUACGGGGGGCAGCAGUGGGGAAUAUUGCACAAUGGGCGGAAGCCUGAUGCAGCAACGCCGCGUGCGGGAUGACGGCCUUCGGGUUGUAAACCGCUUUCGCCUGUGACGAAGCGUGAGUGACGGUAAUGGGUAAAGAAGCACCGGCUAACUACGUG
rnacentral:rRNA from 1 species